rnacentral:lncRNA from 1 species
UGACGAUAUCGAUUCUUCUCAAAGUUCAAUUAACUCAACUGACAUGUCGGAUUUCGGUGAACUUUUUUUCAAAAUCAGUCUCAAUUCUUCACUUAAACGUACAAAGCCUAGCCCCGAAAAUAGAUCUGAUUCAAGCUGAAUAUUCUGAUUUCGACAUUUUAGCGUUUAGUGAAACCUGGUUAAACAAUAAUCAUACAGACGAAUCAAUUGAAAUCCUAAAUUACCAGCACCCCUUCCGUCGUGACAGAGGUCCACACAAGGUUGGAGGGGGGAUAAUUGUUUAUGUAAAAAAUGAUAUACAUGUUCAACGUCGAAUUGACCUCGAAAGCGAAAGCUUGGAAGCAAUAUGGUUAGAAAUUAAAUUUAAAGAUAAAAAGGCUUUGCUCGGAACCUUUUAUAUACCUCCCAAUAGUGGA